CCUCACAAACUACCUUGCAUAAUAUAGAUCACAUGGAAUAGCUGACAACAGAAAUAACAUCCAAGGCCCGAAGACUCCUCCAUAAAUAAUGUUAUGCUGAAAUGAGUGCAUCCGGCCCAAUAUAGAGCACACACUCACAUUUAGAUCCAUCCACGGACCCCAAACCGAUUCUGAUAGUAAAAUACUGGACCAAUAACCUUUCAAGGAUCCACAAUAACCUUUUUCCCAUGACACAUAAGAACAACCGUCGAAUCCGAAACAACAUCCGCAGCUCACUACCAAAUGAAUAGAGCGCCUUCUAGGCCUAAACUCUCUCCUUAGCGAUAGUACCAUAAUUUCCAUACUUGGUUUCAACCUUUAAUCAAUCAAGUGACUACAUGCCACACAUAUGCAAUCUUCCCGUGGGAUACGCUCUCACGACCUCCCGCACCAGCUAACAAGUCUGCACAUCCACACCACCGGCAAUACAAAUGCUGCAAAGCAAAUCAAGAAUCCGUAAAUCGGUACACAAAGCCUCUUACACAGGACACCGAUCUCAGGUGACGCUAAAGACAAUACCAGCUUACACUAAACAUCUGAUUUUUUUCCUGCUCAUCCGAACCCAUGACAUUCUUGUCAACACCAAACUGCAAUCUUGAUCCUCAACUUUCAAAUUACAUGCUGCUCACUGCACCUAACAUGCCAAUACGCGAGAGUACAAGAAUUCCAUCAUAACUCCUGAACCACUGAUAGAAUAAACUCUACAUCAUAUAGAAGCCUUUCUCUUACCCAUUCCAGGAGAACUAUUGCAACACAUGACUGAAUUCUCAUAACCGCAAAAAAUACAAACCUCAAGUAGAGGCCUAAACCACCAUAACUCUUCCGGGAUCCAUCUACACAUAACAUGUCAUUAUAAUCGAAUGCCUCCAAUUAACUCAAAUUACGGCGGUCGUCAAGCCUCGCACGUACCUCCACCAAUCGCCUGUAUUACUUAACACAUUGAAGGAACCGAUCAUUGCCACCACCAUGCCGAUUCAACAAUUGCUAACCGAACCAAUUUCCUUCUAAUUUACCCUGGGCUUGCCUUAGAAAUAAUAAUAGCUCCAUUCAGAAUAUAACGAACCCAAUCCGCACUCAUCCUGAGUUACCCUAUUUCACGAGACCGCAUUGUCUCAAAACCCACGAACCAUCUCAUACCCUCCUUGUGCGCACAUUCGCAUCUUCAAUUGGUACACCAAUUCUAAUAAAUCCUUUAUGAAUCUGAAGUUGUUUUCUCCCAUCCUCCAAUGCUACACCGCAGACCGAUGAUAACAUAGAACACUCCAAGGCUCUGCUAGCACAUGAACACCUUCUCAGAGAAGCUCCUGGUUGGAUCACUUUCCUUGUACAUCACCUCCACAUGCAGCAUAAACUCUGAGUCUUCCCACAACCUGAAUAUGAACUGAUAAGGCCCAAUAUAGCACACAUUCCUCAAAUCCUUUGCUCAAAUUUCUUUUCCUUGGUCGUAAUGACCCACCAAUACGCCGAUAACCAGAAAACCCAUAAGUAAACAACCAUGCAAUCCAAUCAUAGACAAUAGGGCUCUCCCACUUAGCUUGAAGUUACAAUUGCAUAACCCUGGAACCCACCAAGAUUCCUUCUUCCUCAUUGACAUGAUCUGGCACAAUCGACCUGCCAAAUUUUCUCGAAAUCUUCCUGUUCAACAUUUCAUGAACACUCUGAAUCUCUAGCCACAUUUACAUAUUUGACCUCUUAUCGGAUAGCCAUUAGAAUUCUUCAUAGAAGCUUCGCCAACUCCACGCAACCGCUAACCUGCUCACCGAAGAUAACUCACCUGUGUAAAUUCCAUGCCGACACCUUCUAACGACACUGCACCGAGUACAAUUACUACGAAACCAAUAAACCAUCCUGAGCUUGUGCUCAUUCACCGGUUUUACAAGUCCGUUCACUCCCCAUUGACAUCGACUAAAGGCCCGACGAUACAUUCUAAUCUGAAGUCAUGUUGCUGCCCUCUUUAUAUUAAGCAACUCCCUCUUGUCGUAUCCAAUCUUCCUCAGUAUAGUAGCUAAUAUUCUAAAUUAGACCGUAGACCUAGUCACGGUCCACCAUGAACCCCAAAUCACUCUACACUUUCCUCAAGGUGUGUAGCAAUCCUGGCACAGAACCCAUAUGAUACUCUCCCACUUUGGUCAAACCCCCUCCUUUAAGCAACUAAUCGACUUCUGCUUCUCACAUUUGUCCUUCUAGAAAUUUAACCACCACAAGACAGCUCUCACAUGCCCUUCCUCACCCAAUUGUUGCCUAAUAGAAAUCCAUCUCUUAUAGCACUUGAACCAAUAGAUCGCCACCAACUCUAAACCUCCCUAAAGAUCAUCUUCCUCAAGCCGUCAAUAUUAGGAACACCGGUUCGAUUCUGAACCACUGCACACCGCGAUCUCUGACAGCCACUUCCCCGGCACCAUGUCACAAUACCCUGCCCCGAAGGCAAAUUGAAGAAGACCAUAACACAGACAAACUUAACACCUUUAACAAGGACAACGACGCCAUAUUAUAGACAAAAAUUCCACCAUACUCAAAAAUACCAAGUCUCAUUACUCUAUCAACCUAACCCUGAACAUUCAUAGUUCGAUUACCUUUCCUCUGCUGGAAAUAAAACACUGAACCUCUGAAUCACACACCGAGAAGAACCUCCUCUCAUGUCAUUCACUGCCCUGACAAAUAGGCAAGUAUCCUACCAUUACAUCAAUACUAUGCGAUAACAACUCACGAACAUCAUGGCAACCCGUGCAUAGCCUCAAAACCAUCAGGAAUACAGCUACUGAGCUGAAAUGACAGAACAUCCUUUCGCAAGGCGACGACAUCAGCCCAACCAAAUACGUAGGGAGAAACAUCCUGUACCAUAUCUACAGUACCCUUAAAAUUCCUCGCUUCCCAACUGAUAACAAGCGCCUAACAUCGCAUAAGAUUGAAUAGGAAAGAAAUAAAGGCAUAAGCCUCAAAGGAAUCAAAUGGCACAAUGAGGAAUCAAGAAGGGAAGUGCUCCUAACAGCCCUAUAGCCUCUCGAAGAUAAGUACAGAUGUCUCCAUACCGAUCCGCAAAACUCUACUAGACUUGUUCAUGACUCGUGAGACCUAAGUGAACCUAAUGUUCUGAUACCAUAUUGUCACAACCCAAAAUCCAUUAAAGGUCGUGAUGGUGCCUAACACCGCGGUCAGGCAAGACAACAAUAAAUGAUUAUCCUAAUUACUCAUAUUAGUAUUUGAAAUCAUAAUUUUCUUUAAUUACAUAAUACAAAAU
rnacentral:lncRNA from 1 species